AUGUCCUUAAUCCUGCAUCCACAUCCCAUAAUUUUUCAACACCUAAAUCCACAAAACCAACCGAAGGAAAUCAUGGCAGAAACAUGCGCCGUGGCUUACGUCUCCAAGGACUUCUUGGCAUUAUUGUACAGGUUGGACACAACAAUCCUCGCUGCAAGCUGCAGAAGAACUACACAGGCACCUUUCUUCACCUUGCCCUUGGGGAGGAGGGGGCAACACUUGCAGCGUGGUGACAAGGCUUUGCGAACGCCGUCGGCGAGAGCGUGCAUCGGAGGGCGUCGAGAGUGGCAGCUGCCUCCACCUCGGCGCGAGCGUAAUGGCCGCGCGACUCAAGGCAGCACACGAAGCGGUCAUGCUGGAGCAUUACGCUAUGCACAGAUGUGUAGGCAAUUAACAAAGAUUGGUAAAAGGGAAACAAAUUAUCCAAAAGAAGAAAGGUUUUAUAUAUUUUCAGCGUACCCAGCCAUAAAAUCAGAUGCUUCUUGA
rnacentral:rRNA from 1 species